GUCUAAGUGCAUACCUUAAAACAGUGAAACCGAAAAUGUCUCAUUAAAUCAGCUAUGAUUCCUUAGAUCAUAUAUACUAUGCAUAUACUACAUGGAUAAUUAUAGUGGUUCUAGAGCUAAUACAUACAAUUAUGCCCUGACCCGCAAGGGAACGGGUGCAUUUAUUAGAACAGAACCAACCGGGGGCAGUUUCCGUCUGUCUUCGGUGAAUUCUGUGAUAACUCUAGACAACUUGAAUGAUCGCAAUCCGCUUUGUGUAUGCGACGGAUCUUUCAAAUGUCCGCCCUGUCCAUUUUUUGGUAGGUGAUUUGCCUACCAUGACAAUAACGGGUAACGGGGAAUAAGGAUUCGAUUCCUGGAG
rnacentral:ncRNA from 1 species